GACAUAGGUGGCAAACGUUAUCCGGAAUUAUUGGGCGUAAAGGGUGCGUAGGUGGUUUAAUAAGUUACUGGUGGCAAAUCGGGGCCCAACCCCGUGGAAGUCAGUAAUACUAUCGAACUAGAGGGUCGGAGAGGUUAACGGAACUCCAUGUGUAGCGGUAAAAUGCUCAAAUAUAUGGAUGAACACCAAUCGGCGAAGGCAGU
rnacentral:rRNA from 1 species